rnacentral:rRNA from 1 species
UACAGAGAGUGCAAACGUUGUUCGGAAUCACUGGGCGUAAAGGGAGCGUAGGCGGGAGCCUAAGUUGGGUGUUUAAUUCCGGGGCCCAACCCCGGGCAUGCACUCAAAACUGGGUUUCUUGAAUAGGGGAGAGGUCGGUGGAAUUGGAGGUGUAGCGGUGGAAUGCGUAGAGAUCUCCAAGAACACCCGUUGCGAAGGCGGCCGACUGGACCCAUAUUGACGCUGAGGCCCGAAAGCAUGGGGAGCAAACAGG